rnacentral:lncRNA from 1 species
GGCGGAGGGAGCGGGCGCGGCGCUGAGGGCGCGGAGGUGCGGGCUGGGAGGGGGCGCUUAGCGCGGCCGGGGACGGACGCGGGGCCGAUAGGGUCGCUUAGCACGGGAGAACAUGGCAGGAAAAGGAAGAAGCUCAGCUCAGUGGAUGCAGACUGGUGUGGGAGACUUCCUAGUACUGGUGUCUAAAGUGGGCUAAAAUGGUAACCUAACUGUUGUGGGAUUCUGCAUGAAAAACACUGUGGGCAAAUUAUAUGGACGUGUGAGCAAAGCCUGAUCUCUUCAUUACUGCAGGUG